GAUGAACGCUGGCGGCGUGCUUAACACAUGCAAGUCGAACGAACGGACGAGAAGCUUGCUUUUCUGUUGUUAGCGGCGGACGGGAGUGUCACAUGUGGAUCCCCUACCUAUAUUACUGGGAUAAUUACGGGAAACCGGAGCUUAUACCGUAUAAUAUUUUGCUCCGCAUGGUUCAAAAGUGAAUUCCGGUCUUGCUGUCUCUUAUAGCUGGAUCCGCGCUGCUUUAGUUAGUUGGUAGGGUAACGGCUUACCACGGCGACGAUGCAUAGCCGACCUGUGAGAGGGAUCGGCGACACGGGAAGUGGGACGCGGUCCAGGCGACUACGGGAGGCAGCAGUAGGGAAUGGUCGGCAAUGGGCGGAAGACUGACAGAGGAGCGCGACGCGAGUGAUGGAGGUCUUCGGAUCGGAAAACUCGGUUAUUGGGGAAAAACAGAUGUAGAAUGAGCUGAGCAGUUCGUGACGGUACCUAGUCAAGAAGCCACGGCUAACUACGUG
rnacentral:rRNA from 1 species